CUGCCGUUGCUAAGCGACGAUUUGUGAUAAAUAAGAUAAAGAAUCUUAUCGUUAAAUAAAGAGAAAUAAACAACAAUAAAACAAGCAUAAAAUAAAUAAAAUACUUUCUACUGAAUUUGAAGGAUGUUUUUGCGAGUCUAUCUAACAAUGUUUAUUUCUUUUAUAAAAAAAACAUAAACUACGUCGUCAUUGCCGUUAGAAGGAUUGCUAAUUAAAUUCAAGAAACAGCCAUUAGCUAAAGCAAGGGUAUUGCAAAAAUGUUUACAAUUAAACAGUAAACAAGAAGCUUGAAAACGACAAUAUUCAUAUUUACACUCACAGUAGCGGCGUUGGGAUUGGACGCGGUCGCGCAACCGCCCAGGGCGCCUGAUUUAAACAAACCACAGUAGUUGUAAUAAAAGAGUGAGCGCCGUUGCAAUCUUGCUACCUUUUCCGAUACUGCGACUUUUCAUAGCCGUAUUGCAUAGAAAUAUAUAACGUACUUGAACAUGUUAUCACAGUUUAUUCAAAGGAAUUCAGUGUGAGUGGGAUGACAAGGAAGGUGAAGUUUUCCGUUCUACAUAUUAAGCGCGUAAUUAACGGCUCGGAGUAGUUAACGGCAGCCGCCCUGCACUCGAGGACUAGAUAACAAACUUCUCAACUAAUAAAAUCCAAGCUCUCUCUGAUAAUUAUGUAAAACUACUUUUUUCUUCAGCGAGGAAUUUACUUUGAAGAUUUGAAAUUGCAUUUCCUUCACCAGAUAUCUAUAUAAUUUUUUUUAGUAUUAAAGGCAUUAUAUAGAUAUUAUAUUAAUUAUAAGCUUUUUAAAAAGGGUCGGUCAUGAAAAUGAACAUAAGCCGGUAAUGAUUAUUUUAAAUAAUCUGCGUUUUGUUUCUAUAAAUUCACUUUUUAACAGUUUAUUGCAGUUAACAAACAGUAUUAACCUUCUACAAAGACUUAUUCACUUCAUGUUAAGUCAACACAUAUCUAAAAGGCACCUAACGCACCCGCUGUGGAGACGGGGCGCCUCCACGUCGGGGGGAGAGCUGAUUUGUUCGGUAUACUUAUAAUAUUGUUAUUUAUUUAAAAAAAUCAUCGAUACAGAAUCUAUAGCUGGAAAGUGACUUACAAGUUGCAGUUAUAAUCGAGAGUCGAUUUCCGCAAUAAUGUGCGUGACGUAAACAUGUAUACACUCAUUGAAAAUAACAUUAAUUGGGAGUAUGUAGCAUAUCAAAUUUAAAACUAAUUUACUAUAUGUUCUCCAAAAACAUAUUUAAAACACACAGCAUUUUCAACAAAUAUCAUAUUGUGUUUUGUUUUGGUUAUAAUAUUAUUAAUUCGCGUUUUAUAAAUUCGACGAAGUAAAUAACAUCAGUGA